GUCACGAUAGCUCAAGUGGUUAGAGCGACGGCGUGUUUAGCCGAAGAUCGUGGGUUCGAAUCCCGCUCGUGUCA
rnacentral:tRNA from 1 species